GACGAACGCUGGCGGCGUGCCUAAUACAUGCAAGUAGAACGCUGAAGGAGGAGCUUGCUUCUCUGGAUGAGUUGCGAACGGGCGAGUAACGCGUAGGUAACCUGCCUGGUAGCGGGGGAUAACUAUUGGAAACGAUAGCUAAUACCGCAUAAUAGUAGAUGUUGCAUGACAUUUGCUUAAAAGGUGCAAUUGCAUCACUACCAGAUGGACCUGCGUUGUAUUAGCUAGUUGGUGGGGUAACGGCUCACCAAGGCGACGAUACAUAGCCGACCUGAGAGGGUGAUCGGCCACACUGGGACGGGGACACGGCCCAGACUCCUACGGGAGGCAGCAGUAGGGAACCUUCGGCAAUGGACGGAAGUCUGACCGAGCAACGCCGCGUGAGUGAAGAAGGGUGUCGGAUCGUGAAGCUCUGUUGUAAGAGAAGAACGAGUGUGAGAGUGGAAAGUUCACACUGUGACGGUAUCUUACCAGAAAGGGACGGCUAACUACGUG
rnacentral:rRNA from 1 species